rnacentral:rRNA from 1 species
GACGAACGCUGGCGGCGUGCUUAACACAUGCAAGUCGAACGGAAAGGCCCUGCUUUUGUGGGGUGCUCGAGUGGCGAACGGGUGAGUAACACGUGGAUAACCUACCUAUAAGACUGGGAUAACUUCGGGAAACCGGAGCUAAUACCGGAUAACAUGUUGAACCGCAUGGUUCUACAGUGAAAGACGGUCUUGCUGUCACUUAUAGAUGGAUCCGCGCCGCAUUAGCUAGUUGGUAAGGUAACGGCUUACCAAGGCAACGAUGCGUAGCCGACCUGAGAGGGUGAUCGGCCACACUGGAACUGAGACACGGUCCAGACUCCUACGGGAGGCAGCAGUAGGGAAUCUUCCGCAAUGGGCGAAAGCCUGACGGAGCAACGCCGCGUGAGUGAAGAAGGUCUUCGGAUCGUAAAACUCUGUUAUUAGGGAAGAACAAAUGUGUAAGUAACUAUGCACGUCUUGACGGUACCUAAUCAGAAAGCCACGGCUAACUACGUG